rnacentral:rRNA from 1 species
ACGAACGCUGGCGGCAGGCCUAACACAUGCAAGUCGAGCGAGGACUUCGGUUCUAGCGGCGGACGGGUGAGUAACGCGUGGGAAUGUGCCCUUCUCUACGGAAUAGCCCUGGGAAACUGGGAGUAAUACCGUAUACGCCCUAUUGGGGAAAGAUUUAUCGGAGAAGGAUCAGCCCGCGUUGGAUUAGGUAGUUGGUGGGGUAAUGGCCUACCAAGCCGACGAUCCAUAGCUGGUUUGAGAGGAUGAUCAGCCACACUGGGACUGAGACACGGCCCAGACUCCUACGGGAAGCAGCAGUGGGGAAUCUUAGACAAUGGGGGCAACCCUGAUCUAGCCAUGCCGCGUGAGUGAUGAAGGCCUUAGGGUUGUAAAGCUCCUUCAGCUGGGAAGAUAAUGACGGUACCAGCAGAAGAAGCCCCGGCUAACUCCGUG